UACGGGGGGGCGAAGCGUUGUUCGGAAUUACUGGGCGUAAAGGGCUCGUAGGCGGCCAGCUAAGUCAUACGUGAAAUCCCUCGGCUUAACCGGGGAACUGCGUCUGAUACUGGAUGGCUUGAGUUCGGGAGAGGGAUGCGGAAUUCCAGGUGUAGCGGUGAAAUGCGUAGAUAUCUGGAGGAACACCGGUGGCGAAGGCGGCAUCCUGGACCGAUACUGACGCUGAGGAGCGAAAGCCAGGGGAGCAAACGGG
rnacentral:rRNA from 1 species